UACGGAGGGUGCAAGCGUUAUCCGGAUUCACUGGGUUUAAAGGGUGCGUAGGAGGGCAGGUAAGUCAGUGGUGAAAUCUCCAAGCUUAACUUGGAAACUGCCGUUGAUACUAUCUGUCUUGAAUACCGUGGAGAUGAGCGGAAUAUGUCAUGUAGCGGUGAAAUGCUUAGAUAUGACAUAGAACACCGAUAGCGAAGGCAGCUUACUACAUGUUCAUUGACGCUGAGGCAUGAAAGCGUGGGGAGCAAACAGG
rnacentral:rRNA from 1 species